AUUGAACGCUGGCGGCAGGCUUAACACAUGCAAGUCGAGCGGGGAGAUGUAGCUUGCUACAUUUCUUAGCGGCGGGCGGGUGAGUAAUGCUUAGGAAUCUGCCUAUUAGUGGGGGACAACGUUUCGAAAGGAACGCUAAUACCGCACACGCCCUACGGGGGGAAGCAGGGGAUCUUCGGACCUUGCGCUAAUAGAUGAGCCUUAGUCAGAUUAGCUAGUUGGGGGGGUAAAGGCCGACCAAGGCGACGAUCUGUAGCGGGUCUGAGAGGAUGAACCGCCACACGGGGACUGAGACACGGCCCAGACUCCUACGGGAGGCAGCAGUGGGGAAUAUUGGACAAUGGGGGGAACCCUGAUCCAGCCAUGCCGCGUGUGUGAAGAAGGCCUUUUGGUGGUAAAGCACUUUAAGCGAGGAGGAGGCUCUUCUAGUUAAUACCGAGGAUGUGUGGACGUUACUCGCAGAAUAAGCACCGGCUAACUCUGUGCCAGCAGCCGCAGUAAAAC
rnacentral:rRNA from 1 species